CCACCUGGACCAUCUUGGUGUGAAGACCCUGUCCCAUCUCUGUCCCUCCAUGAGUCAACAACACAGACCCGUCUCUGUAGAUGUGGACGAGAGCACCAGCCUAAAGACAAAGAACACAAUGAUUAAUGAAGAUUUCUCCAUUCGGGUCGGGUCGGUAGAACCGAGCCUGGUAUCAGUGGGUCAACAUGCAGCAUGGGAUCAGACUGAACUCCUGAGUUCCACCAGAACCAGAACCGACCCUGUCUUACCUUCCUUCCAUUCACGAAGAAGACGAGCUCAUCGGAGCCGGUCCGGUUCUGAGAGUCGGCCAUGGUUCUGUUCCUGCUGGUCUCCAUCCUGCUGCUGCUAAUGAAGCUCCUUCAGAGGAAGGCUCCUCCUCUUCCUCCUCCCAGAACCUGCAGUCCAACGGGAGUCGGAUCCGUUCCAGACAUGUUGAUGAUUCACAUCAGUCCUUCACUCUGAGCUUCAUGUGACUCACGACUUCGAAUCGAUUCGAUUUGCCCUCAAGAAACAUCCACAAAGACUCUGCUGUUAGUCACCAUGAAGACGAUGCAGCGUGUAAAUGAGACGCAGCGCGGCGUUUUAAUGUGAAACCUUUAACUGGUCAGAGCUACGAGCAGGGAGCCGAACACACAGCCCUGAGGAACUCCACU